CAACCCUUAAGCUCAGCUUAGUGUUGGGAAUCUACCGUGAGCGGUGUUACCUGGUACCUACCCUAUAACGGGGUCAGGUUACCCUGUAGCUACCCUGUAGUUCCUCAAAUCCAACGGCGGAGUCAUAGUCAUCUCUGAGCGCAGUAAUUUUUAUCACGCUUUUGAAGAUGCUAUAGCCCUUGCCGCUAAACCCCCAAUUUUUUAAU
rnacentral:misc_RNA from 1 species